AGGUUAAGCAGUAAAUGUGGAGCCGUAGCGAAAGCGAGUCUGAAUAGGGCGUUUAGUAUUUGGUCGUAGACCCGAAACCAGGUGAUCUACCCUUGGUCAGGUUGAAGUUCAGGUAACACUGAAUGGAGGACCGAACCGACUUACGUUGAAAAGUGAGCGGAUGAACUGAGGGUAGCGGAGAAAUUCCAAUCGAACCUGGAGAUAGCUGGUUCUCUCCGAAAUAGCUUUAGGGCUAGCCUCAAGUGAUGAUUAUUGGAGGUAGAGCACUGUUUGGACGAGGGGCCCCUCUCGGGUUACCGAAUUCAGACAAACUCCGAAUGCCAAUUAAUUUAACUUGGGAGUCAGAACAUGGGUGAUAAGGUCCGUGUUCGAAAGGGAAACAGCCCAGACCACCAGCUAAGGUCCCAAAAUAUAUGUUAAGUGGAAAAGGAUGUGGCGUUGCCCAGACAACUAGGAUGUUGGCUUAGAAGCAGCCAUCAUUUAAAGAGUGCGUAAUAGCUCACUAGUCGAGUGACACUGCGCCGAAAAUGUACCGGGGCUAAACAUAUUACCGAAGCUGUGGAUUGUCCUUUGGACAAUGGUAGGAGAGCGUUCUAAGGGCGUUGAAGCAUGAUCGUAAGGACAUGUGGAGCGCUUAGAAGUGAGAAUGCCGGUGUGAGUAGCGAAAGACGGGUGAGAAUCCCGUCCACCGAUUGACUAAGGUUUCCAGAGGAAGGCUCGUCCGCUCUGGGUUAGUCGGGUCCUAAGCUGAGGCCGACAGGCGUAGGCGAUGGAUAACAGGUUGAUAUUCCUGUACCACCUAUAAUCGUUUUAAUCGAUGGGGGGACGCAGUAGGAUAGGCGAAGCGUGCGAUUGGAUUGCACGUCUAAGCAGUAAGGCUGAGUAUUAGGCAAAUCCGGUACUCGUUAAGGCUGAGCUGUGAUGGGGAGAAGACAUUGUGUCUUCGAGUCGUUGAUUUCACACUGCCGAGAAAAGCCUCUAGAUAGAAAAUAGGUGCCCGUACCGCAAACCGACACAGGUAGUCAAGAUGAGAAUUCUAAGGUGAGCGAGCGAACUCUCGUUAAGGAACUCGGCAAAAUGACCCCGUAACUUCGGGAGAAGGGGUGCUCUUUAGGGUUAACGCCCAGAAGAGCCGCAGUGAAUAGGCCCAAGCGACUGUUUAUCAAAAACACAGGUCUCUGCUAAACCGUAAGGUGAUGUAUAGGGGCUGACGCCUGCCCGGUGCUGGAAGGUUAAGAGGAGUGGUUAGCUUCUGCGAAGCUACGAAUCGAAGCCCCAGUAAACGGCGGCCGUAACUAUAACGGUCCUAAGGUAGCGAAAUUCCUUGUCGGGUAAGUUCCGACCCGCACGAAAGGCGUAACGAUUUGGGCACUGUCUCAACGAGAGACUCGGUGAAAUCAUAGUACCUGUGAAGAUGCAGGUUACCCGCGACAGGACGGAAAGACCCCGUGGAGCUUUACUGUAGCCUGAUAUUGAAAUUCGGCACAGCUUGUACAGGAUAGGUAGGAGCCUUUGAAACGUGAGCGCUAGCUUACGUGGAGGCGCUGGUGGGAUACUACCCUAGCUGUGUUGGCUUUCUAACCCGCACCACUUAUCGUGGUGGGAGACAGUGUCAGGCGGGCAGUUUGACUGGGGCGGUCGCCUCCUAAAAGGUAACGGAGGCGCUCAAAGGUUCCCUCAGAAUGGUUGGAAAUCAUUCAUAGAGUGUAAAGGCAUAAGGGAGCUUGACUGCGAGACCUACAAGUCGAG
rnacentral:rRNA from 1 species